GAACCAAUUCUAAAUGAUGCCUUGUGUCAGACACACUCAAUUACCAGAUCCCAAUAUCUACACAACAAAUAGGGUAGCUGAGAAAUGGAAAACCGGACAGGAAGAUGGCUGUAGGGUUGCCCAGCUAAUCCAAUACAACCAGGAACCCAACAAAGAUCUUCGCGACCCUAGACUCUGGGAUUCUCCCUAAGCCCCAGCCCACGUAGACCAUGACACUAUGUCACAUAAUUGAAGCUAAGGGAUGAUGGGUAGGCACAGUGGAAAAUUUGGCAACAGUAAAAAGUUUCUGAAUACACAACAGCAACAAAGCUAAUUGUGUAACAAUGCUAAGAUGUUUUCUAGCAGUGUUUGCUCUUGUUACUCAGUACAGCUUCUCUGCAGCCUUGAUUGUGACGUCACACGGGGAAGCACAUUGCGCAUGCGUCGCCCCCUAGCCUCACCGCUGCUGCCUUAAACAGUUCAGACCAGACUAGAGUGUUGGACAGUCCUGGUUGUGUGUUGAAUGUUCCUGGUUGCGGUAUUUUAUUGGGCUUAGAAAUUUUUCUGCUCUUAGGAGGAACAUAAAUGAUUUUAAUUACAGUACACAAAGUCUCUCCUGCCUACGCCACCUCUUAGCAGCCAUAGAACUAAAGAGACUACCGGUGCUGUACAGACUGAGUUAAACUGAAUAGCUAUCAAAGAGGAACCCAGGGCCUUGAAGAAACCUCAAGCAAUAAAUGACAACAUCAUCGCAGGGUCCCUCCUCCAAGAUGACUUCAUCCUGUGUUAAGCUGACCAAUCAACCAGCCAGCUCGUGGAUCUACCUUAGUCAAGAAAAGCUAAAGGUCACAAUCGAAUAUACGUGUUCUGGCUAUCUUUCCCUGAAUGGCCUAAUGCAAAGCCUAUGACCAGGCUUUUUAACCAAUGAUUCCUAGAGCUCCAUUACAGGGCAAAUUUGGGGAAACUGAUAUAACCUAAGACCUAAUUCUAUAUGCAGAAACUAAGGCCCAAGGAGAAGAUGAUGCCCAUUAUGAAAUAUCAUCAGGCACCUACCCACCCUGCGCACAAUGAAAGCACAACAGAAACGAUCAGAAAAAUGGAGACGAUGCACCGUGCGCGUUCCUGGUGGGAUUAUGAAUUGGCACAGCCAUUCUGGCACAUAGUUGGUUAAUACAAGUCAUAAUAUUAAAUAUGCUUACUAUUUGAUUCA